AUUGAACGUUGGCGGAAUGCUUUACACAUGCAAGUCGAACGCCGUAGCAAUACGGAGUGGCAGACGGGUGAGUAACGCGUGGGAACGUGCCUUUCGGUUCGGAACAACUGAGGGAAACUUCAGCUAAAACCGGAUACGCCCUUCGGGGGAAAGUUUACGCCGAAAGAUCGGCCCGCGUUAGAUUAGCUAGUUGGUGGGGUAAUGGCCUACCAAGGCGACGAUCUAUAGCUGUUCUGAGAGGAAGAUCAGCCACACUGGGACUGAGACACGGCCCCGACUCCUACGGGAGGCAGCAGUGGGGAAUAUUGGACAAUGGGCGCAAGCCUGAUCCAGCUAUGCCGCGUGGAUGAAGAAGGCCUUAGGGUUGUAAAGUCCUUUCGUUGGUGAAGAUAAUGACGGUAACCAAAGAAGAAGCCCCGGCUAAUUUCGUGCCAGCCGCCGCGGUAA
rnacentral:rRNA from 1 species